UCGAGAAUAUUUAGCAAUGGACGAAAGUCUGACUAUGCGACGCCGCGUGCAGGAUGAAGGUCUUCGGAUUGUAAACUGCUUUUGUUAGGGGAGAAACCUGUGUCAUUAAUAGUGGCACAGCUGACGGUACCUGACGAAUAAGCCACGGCAAAGCCUGUGCCAGCAGCCGCGGUAAUACAGGCGUGGCAAGCGUUACUCGGAAUUAUUGGGUGUAAAGGGCAGGUAGGUGGCCCGGUAAGUGAGAGGUGAAAUCCUGCGGUUUAAUCGCAGAACUGCCUUUCAAACUGCCAGGCUUGAGAAAGAUAGAGGAAGACGGAAUUUCCGGUGUAAGGGUGAAAUCUGUAGAUAUCGGAAAGAACACCAACGGCGAAGGCAAUCUUCUGGGUCUUUUCUGACACUGAGCUGCGAAAGCUAGGGGAGCAAACAGA
rnacentral:rRNA from 1 species